GUGUCUUUUGGCUCCUCCGCGUGUAGUUACCUGAGAAACGCGGGAAGUUGGGCCCAGGCAGUGUUGCUGCGGUUGCCUAAGUUGUUUUUCUAUUUCUGGAGAGAGCCGUGAGCUUGUCCAGGGGCCCCAAUCCUGAGGCCGACCCGGUUUCUGGCGCGGUGCGAUGGAGGUAGUGGAGGCCGCCGCCGCUCAGCUGGAAACUCUGAAAUUCAAUGGCACCGACUUUGGAGUUGGGGAAGGUCCGGCGGCUCCGUCUCCGGGCUCUGCCCCUGUGCCAGGGACACAGCCGCCGCUACAGUCGUUUGAGGGGUCCCCGGACGCUGGGCAGACCGUGGAGGUUAAGCCUGCCGGGGAGCAGCCUCUGCAGCCCGUUCUGAACGCCGUCGCGGCCGGGACCCCGGCGCCGCAGCCACAGCCACCGGCUGAAUCGCCGGCCUGCGGAGACUGCGUCACCUCCCCAGGAGCCGCAGAGCCUGCGCGGGCGCCGGACUCCUUGGAGACCUCGGACUCGGAUUCGGACUCGGACAGUGAAACAGAUUCAGAUAGUUCAAGUUCAUCGUCUUCCUCUUCAUCUUCCUCAUCGUCGUCUUCUUCCUCUUGUAUAUCACUUCCUCCAGUGCUGUCAGAUGGAGAUGAUGAUUUACAAAUUGAGAAGGAAAAUAAGAAUUUUCCUCUUAAAACAAAAGAUGAAUUACUUCUUAAUGAACUGCCUUCUGUUGAAGAACUCACUAUUAUUCUGCCUGAAGAUAUUGAGUUAAAGCCUCUUGGGAUGGUUUCAAGUAUUAUUGAACAACUAGUAAUAAUUGAAUCUAUGACUAACCUACCUCCAGUUAAUGAGGAGACUGUAAUUUUUAAAAGUGAUCGACAAGCAGCAGGAAAGAUAUUCGAGAUAUUUGGACCUGUUGCACAUCCAUUUUAUGUGUUACGGUUUAAUUCUUCAGAUCACAUUGAGAGUAAAGGUAUUAAAAUAAAGGAGACUAUGUAUUUUGCUCCAUCAAUGAAAGAUUUCACUCAAUAUAUAUUCACAGAAAAACUAAAACAGGAUAAGGGAUCAGAUGCAUCAUGGAAGAAUGAUCAGGAACCACCACCAGAGGCCUUAGAUUUUAGUGAUGAUGAAAAAGAGAAGGAAGCCAAACAGAGGAAAAAAUCUCAGAUUCAAGGCCGGAAAAAACUCAAAUCUGAAUUUAAUGAGCCUGGUGAAGAUUUUACUGAAGUACAUCAGAAUUGGAAUGCUCAUAGCUCUGCUUCAGAGCAUGCAAAAGGAUAUCGUAACAGAGAAUUCACACGAGGAUUUUCCAGGGCCAGAUACCCUCGAUCUUGCCAUGGCAGGCCUCCACCUCAGCAUUUCUAUAACUCAGAACAUAUGGUAUCUCAGGAGACUUCAGGAUUUCCUUCUCAGAGACAAAAUAAUCCCAUUAUGCCACAAUACCCCUUUCCUCUUCCAGUGUUUGACAUGCAUAAUUUUCCCCUCCGCCCUCCACCCCCACCACCACCCCCACCUGUAAACAUGGGUUGGGCUACACCAAACAUGGCUGCUCAUCCAUUACUUAACUUACCAUACUCCCUACCCCCACCCCCUCCCCCUCCACCACUGCCUCCUCCACCCUCUUCUGGAGAUAGUAAUUCUCAUUUUGGACCUUACUAUUAGGUGACUAUGCAUUUCCAGAGAAAUGUGGACUUUUCAUAUUAUGUGGUACAGGUAUAUCUCACAGAUAUUGUGGCCUCGGAUCCAGACCAUUGCAGUCAAAACACACUGGGAAGUGCUGUCAUAGAAGAUAGCUGGAAGACAUUCAUGGCAGUGCACAUUUCUUGGAGAUGUGUUUAGUCUUGCUAAGAAGACAAUUAGAAGAUCAUGGGAGCCAGAAGAAAUCUCAAAUCUCUCGCAUUAGACACUUGGACUCAGAAAUGCACAAACUCCCUGACAUCUUUAUUUAAAUGACUAAUAGGUAUGUUAACGUCCAAAAUGAAUUCUAAAUUCACCCCAAACUUGCGCCACUGGACAUUUCUGCUCCCUCAGUUUAUGACAACUCCAUCCUUCCAGUUGAUCAAGCUCAUUCUAUUUCAUUUUAUUUUGUGUUUCAAAACAAAAUAGAAGAACAAUAAGGAUUGUAUAUUACUUUUACUUUAUGCUCAGAGAUGGGGAGGGAAUAAUGGUGGUUAAAGAAUUAACCUGCUUUCCAAUUUUCUAGGGAUAGCACUCUGAAUUUAAAUGUUUCAAAUGGGUUGACAACUACCAAAGACAUUUUCCCACUACUUCCUCCCUCUCCUCUGGUAUUCAAUUACUUCCUAACUUGACUCAUAUUCACCUAUUUUUUUAACACCAAAUCAGUCCUUCAGCUUUGUAUCUAGAAGUAUAUAUUCAACACUUGUCACUUCUGAAAAAAACAAAAGGUAGUUAUGCAAUAGUUGAAGUUAUGUCCAGAAAUCUACAAAAAAGUUUUUUUGCGAGAUAUAAAUUAGUAAGGAGUUUUCUGAGGAACCUUCAAAAAGCAAUUUUUGGGGUUUACCUUUUUUAAAAUGUUUCCGGUGUUUAAUAUGUGAAAAGGAAUACAAUUUCUAGUUAUUAUAGAGGGAGAAACAAAACUCAAGCAGCUCUAUCUCAGUUUUGAUGUAGGCCUUAAUCCAUUUUUAAAAAAUAUAAAUAAAUCCCUAGAGAUUACAGUUCCAGGUUCCUAAGACUAAAUAUGUAAAUAACUACGCUACAAAGUGCUAGAGCUCAUCAAUUUUGAGUUAAAAAAAUCCAUAGUAGAAUUUAACUUGAUGGAAACAAAAAUAGGAAAACCAAAAACAAAACUGAAAGCUUAAAAUCUGUCUCUAGUUCCUGUCCUCUUUCAGUGGAAAUGUAUUGAAGCAAAUAAACAUCACUUUUGCUUGACCUUAGAUUUCCAGAUCAGUAAGAGAAUAUGCAAAAUUCAUUUACAAGUUAACUUUCAAAGUUAAGAUGAUGAUACAGUAGCUCCCCCUGAGCCUUGGGGGAUAUGUUCCAAGACCAGCGGAUGCCUGAAAUCACAAAUAGUAGCGAACCCUAUAUAUACCAUGAUUUUUCCUAUACUUACAUACCUAUGAUAAAGAUUAAUUUAGGAAAUAGGCACAGUAAGAGAUUAACAACAACUAAUAAUACAAUAGGACAAUUAUAACAAUAUUUUGUAGUAACAGUUAUGUGAAUGUAUUCUUUCUCUCUCAAAAUAUCUGAUUUUACCUCACCUAUUUUCAGACCAUGGUUGACUGAAGGUAACUGAAACCACGAAAAGUGACAGCACAGAUGAGGGGAGAGUACUGUAUCCUCAAAUGAUGGUAUGGCUGGUGAUGGUAACAGCAAGUCUACCAGCCUAGUCAAGCAUUCUUAUCCAUAGAAGAGUUGCCAUGGGAACCUCAUGGCAACCCACAGAUUUCAAGUACUGUAUGUUCUGCCUAAAUAAAUAAUGAAAAGCUAUCUUACUGAAUGUUCUCCAUAUCUGCAUACUUAAUAGGGCAGGAUGCUACCUCACAUAUCAUUUGCAGUAAACAAAGGUAAAAAUGAGAGACAUACAAAAGUAAGAUAAGGAUUACAUAUCUGCAUUUUAAAAGCACAUUCCGUGUUAACUAAUUAUGUUUUCAUUUCAUUCUGGAUCAGAAGAUCAGACACACAUCAUUGCUUAUUCAGACCUCACCUGAUCCUAUUUAUAGGCCCCUCUCAAACUCACUGAAGAUGACAGUAAUCUCUAUAUCUAUGCAGAGUGUGAGGUAAUUCUAGGAGACACCUUUCUGUGCAAAAUGUCAGGUGUUAGCUCCCCAUGGAGCACUCUCUCCUUGCCACUUGGGGACCUCACAGAAACAAGUCAUAGCAUUCUUUUUUUAGGCUGUGAGGUAGGGUUAGAUCAUCCUCACUUUUCUGUUACCACUUGUGUUCUUUCUGUAUGUGCUUUUUAAAUUCACUAACUAAUAGAAAAAUGCUUUGAAUACAUUAUUAACCUCACAAGAGGAUUUUUUUUCUUCCUAGACAUUGAAAUAUUUUAGACACUAGAAAAUAAAGGAUUUUUAAUAAAUGGAGUGUAACUACUCAAAACUUUUUUCUUCUUUCCCCAAAGUGAAUAAAUAACAAUUGUAGGCUAAUGUUUCAGAUUAGCAUAGGUAGAUAAUAUUAGUUUUUAAUCAUGAAAUUAUUUUAAGUGCAUCAUUUGAGAGAAUUUAUGGUAUAAAUUCUCUAUAAAUUUUAUAUUUGAUAAGAAAUACGAAGAUAGAAGCUAAUGAAGAGGGAGAAGAACUAAGUAUUCUUGAGUUGUUUGUGAAAGUAGUAAUUUAAUCGAAGUUGUAUUCACUUAGCCCCUCCAAGAUUAAGUUUCCAUGUGAAAAAAAAAAAAAAAAGGGUGAAAAGGAGAGCACCAAAACCUUACAUGACUGGAGAUGAUUUAAUAAAAAGCUUGUUUCUGCUCCUCACUGAAAUGCCUUGGAAUAUGAUAAGUACAGUCAGAAAGUUUUUAAUAUUUACUCUCAACAUACAGUAAAGAUUUAGGAAGAGAAAGGACGGAAUAGGGAACUCAGUCUUCCUAAGCCUAAUUUCAUUAAGAAACUUAACAAAGGGAAAAGACACUAAGCCCUUUUCUUGUAAGAAACUCACCUGAAAAGGGAAGGGAUCCAAAUAUGAACAAGAACAGUGACUUAGCACUGGCUUCUCAAGAAGAUAUGUUUUCGUCUGGUGCAUAAUGCCUGGCACAUAGUAGGCCCACAGAGAGUAUUCACUGAAUGAGGGAAUGCAUGAUAGAAUACAUUAGAGAGUGUAUUUUUGCCUGUGUUAACUUUAAUUGAAUACAUUUUAAGAAUAAUAUGUUACUCUUUGAAAACCCAUAUUCUAUUAGUUUUAUAAAGCAUAAUGGAAGAAAAUAUCAGUGAAGCACCAUUUAUUUUAAUUGUAAAGAUUUCUUGAUUUAUCAACCAAUAUGGAGGACAUUUUUGACUAAGUGAAAAAACAGGUUAGUGUAAAUCUUAGCAAUUAUUUCUUUAAUCUGUGACUGGCUUUCUCUUAUUGAAUUCAGUGCUUAACAUUUGAAUAUUAUUUUCUUUUCAUAAUUGAAGUUGGGGAGUAAGAGAUGUUCUCCAGGUGUCAACUAUUGUUUUAGGAGGCUUCAAAAGAAACAUGAGCAAGCUAUUGGCUAAUGGGCUUGAAUUAAUGGUUAUUGGAAAGUUAAAGAUGUACCAUAUGCCAUGAUCUAGGUACCUACAGCCAUUUCUCUGUUCUUUCUCCAUAUCCUUGUCUCUCAUUCUUCCACAAUCCUUCCCUGCCUAUAAGCAAUUACAGUGAAAAAUGCUGGAGUAGAAUGACAUAAGAUCUUUUAAGGUCAAGGGCCAGGUGAUUUCAGAUACUAUGACUUUUCAGAAAGCCCAAAUAAGUUAUUUCCUUACUUACAUCGCUGUUGAUAUAUGCAAAUUAUGUUGCAUGCAGGAAGAAAAAAAAAUUUUCUUAAUUUCCACACUCUAGCAAGCUAAAUGGUUUGAAAUAUACUUGACAAUGUUCUGCAAUAUUGAAAGUAGUAUCUAUUUCUGAUGUUUCAAUUCCUGUAUGUCAAACAUUAUCAAAGAGGGCAAUAUCGCCCCCAAGGGGAUAAAACUUCAUUAUUGGAAGGUGGAAAGUUCUUAUCUUUUUAAUGUACAAUAUUAAGCACAGACAUACAUACAGUAAUUACAGAUACAGCAUAUCUGGGGUAUUAUAAUUUCAUAGUGGGGGAUUAGGGAAAAAAUAUCUAAAAAGGCUCCUUGGCAAGCAGGGUGGAGGGGAUAACCAAAAAAGCUUAAGAAACACUAUUGUACAUUGUGCUUUCCAUUUAUUAAAAAAAUCUUAUUCUCCCCAGGUUCAGGCUAAUGGAACAAAUAAUAGAGAACUAAUAGUCCUAUGGGAACCAUUUUUUUAAAAUAGUCGAGCAAUGUAGGACUCUCAGGUAAAAGCUUCUUUACAGACUGUGCUUAGAUCUGGGACUGAAGUGAGGUCCAUAUUGUUUGAAUUGUAGUCAAGUCAUUCCUACAAGACGAUCUAAACCUGAAACAGAAAGAGGGAAAGCUCUGUCCUGGAGAGAAAAUUGCACAGCGAGAGCACAGUGUACCUGGACACAGAGUGAAAGAGCAGGCUGAAGGAGCCUGCUGUAUCUGAGCACAGGCUGCUCUCAGCAAGUACACAUAGAGACUUGCUUUUGGGCCCAAUGAUCCCCUUUACUAGCAAAAUGACGUAAGUAGCAAGAGUCUCAAAGUGCUAGGCACAGUGGCUCAUGCCUGUAAUCCCAACCCUUUGGGAGGCCAAGGCGGGCGGAUCACUUGAAGUCCAGAGCUUAAGACCAGCCUGGCCAACACGGUGAAACCCCGCCUGUACUAAAAGUACAAAAAUUAGCCAGGUGUGGUGGCAGGUGCCUGUAAUCCCAGCUACUCGGGAGGCUAAGGCAGGAGAAUCACUUGAACCCAGGAGGCGGAGGUUGCAGUGAGCCGAGAUUGCACCACUGCACUCCAGCCUGGCUGACAGAGCGAGACUCCAUCUCAAAAAAAAAAAAGAAAGCCUCAAAUUAGCCACUUUUUCUAAGAAAGGUAGGCGUGGAGAAAUAACCCUGAAAUGUAUCAUUCUUUGAAAAUAUGAGAAAAGAAUGGAGGAUUCUCUCAAAUGUGUGGUACUAUAAAUUGAAGUGAAUUUUGUCUACUAGUUUUGCCUAAUUUGCCACUGAUAAAUAGAUCUUUAUUUUAGAUUUCUCUGUAUAAGUUAAUAUUCAUCUAACACUCAGGUUUUUUUUCUAUAUUCUCAGAAAACAUACCUCAGAAAACAUAAGAUUAACUCUUGAUUGUUUUUCUGAAUUAUUUAUUAAUUAAAAUAAAUUAUUCCAUUUUUAGGCUGAAAUCUUAUUGGAUGAUUCUGUAUUAAUAUAAGAAACAAGUGGGCAGAGAAAAAUACAGAAAUAAAAAAAUGACUAUUUACUAUUCAUAUUAUUUCAGUAGUUCUUUUUCACUUUAGUUUUCAUUACUAUAGAAAAUGGAAACGCUAGACUAGUGUUGUCCAAUGAAAUACCCUGCUGUGAUGGACAGGAACUAUAUAGGCACUUUCUAAUAUGAAAGUGCUAGCUAUUUGGGAUUAAGUUCUUGAAGUAUAGCAGUGGGACUGAAGUAUUAAAUUUAAAUUUCAUUUAAUUUUAAUUAAAUUUAGCAUAUAGUCACUUGGGGCUAGUGCAUUACCAUAUUGGUCAGUGCAACACUUAGAUUCUGAGGAUGUUUGGCAUACUUUAAUUUACAAAAUCAAAUUCCUUAGUUUGAAAUAAUGUAAUAAGAACACUGGCAAACCAUUGUGAGUUUUCCUCACUACACAUAUUUGGGGCUCCUAGGUUAAUAUUAUGUCUUUGUUUGGGAUAACUGUCAAUAGUGGUCUCCUGGUUCAAAUCCAAAUGAGGCCUCCCACAGGUGUGGUUAAUGAAAAUGCAUUGAUUAAUUGUGUGUUUCUUACACAAAAAAACUAACAUCCUUUAAAUGAUUAGACUAAUAUUAAAGAAUAUUGACAUGUUUAAAUGAAAUAUGCAACUUAGAACAAAAUGUUUAGAAGUAAACAUUUUUCAAGAUAUAAUUGGCAACUUGCUCAUAAUUUUCUUAUUCUCAAUCAUAACUUAAGCCUAAUUCUCAGCAGAAGUUGAAUUAGAGCUUGCAUUCAGUGACAAAACCUAGCAGACAAUUAUUGAACACUGCAAAAAUAAACAUGUUUUCCACAUCUGCUAAAAGAUUUAAGACAGAUACAAGCCAGACAAGUCCAAAUAAUUUACUUAUAAAAUGCAAUAUACUUGUUUAACCAAAAGGAAGUAUAUCAAAUUUAUUUGAGUUAAAUAGGCAUUCUAUUUUGUAGGGAUGAAAUUUUGCUUAUAAUAUAAUGAAAAUGUAAUGCACUCUUUAUGAUCUUAAGAAAUUAUUUCCAACAGAUUUUUAUGCAAUAAUAAAAGACUGUCUUCUAAAGUUUAGAGACAGCAUGAGAUAGGAUAUUCAUAUUAAUUGGUUUAAUAUUAAAUAGCUGACGCAUUUUUAGUUAAGGGUCACAGAUAACAGCUUCAAAAGUGAUGUUUCAGCUUGUGAUUAUUCUAUUUGCCUCCAGUUUUUACUUUAGGAACUAUUUACAGGUAACAUUUAUUAAGCAUUUUGAACUAUACACCAGGCAUUGUGUUAAGUGGUAAUUCGAUAGAUGUUAUCUUACUUAAUGUUUAUAAUAAUGCUAUUAGAGCUGUUAUUAUCUGAAUUAUAUCAUGAAGUAAACUGCAGUUCACAGUGAUUAACUUACCAAAGCUCACACAGCCAGCAAAUUGCAGAGCUGAGAUUUGCAUCAGGCUCUGCCUUAACCCAGAGCCCAUGGCUGAUAUCUUAACCUCUGCACCAACUGCAUCUUAAGAAUUUUCCAGCAUAUAACAAUACACACCAGGAACAACAAUAGAAACUUCAAACUAAUGAUUAAAUAGUAGAGGGCUGCUGAUCCCUUCUUAUAUACUGCAAGAAUAACACUUAAUAAAGGAUGAAGAAAGAUUUGUACUGAGUCUAAUAAAGAAAAUUUCAACGACUGGUUUUGUUUUGGUUUGGUUUUCUGAAACAUAAUUUCCCAAUGCACAAAAAAGCACUGAGCAAAUUGUUGAGUUAUGGAUAUAAUUAAGUUAGGUUUCUCUUAUGCACAAAUAAUAGCUUUCCUAGUCAUUUAUACUAAAAAUCACCACGAAUUUCACAAGAUCUAAGUGAUCAACAUUGAAAGUGGAAAGAUUGCUUUGCCAGGAUUCUUAUGGAACCUCUUGCUCUGCUGUUACUCAGAAAGUAAAGCGUAUCACUUUUAUUGCAUUGUAAAUUGUUCCUUAGUGAUCUUUCUGACCGGCUAAUUAGUGAGUUCAGUGUCUGGGAUGGGUGAGUCUUCUUAAAUAUAAAUAUCUAUUCUUGAUACUUUACUAUAGCUGAGUAAUUUCAGAAAUAAAAACAACAUCUUUGGGUGUCCAAGGUUGGUUAUAUCAGUAAAACUAGAAACAAAAUGAGAUCAUAGGUAUGAAAUAUAUCAGAAUCCAAUAUUAACCCAACAUUAACCAUAUUUUUAUAGCCAUUUUUACAAAGUAUCUUUUUUCAGUGAGUAUGUAUGUUCAAAUUUAUUGAAAACCUAUUUUUAUGAAUUGCGAAGUACACCAAAUAUGGCAUUAAUAGAACUACAGCCUUAACUACAUGCUUAUUGUCAGGCCUCUGAGCCCAAGCUAAACCAUCAUAAUCCCCUGUGACCUGCAUGUAUACAUCCAGAUGGCCUGAAGCAAGUGAAGAAUCACAAAAGAAGUGGAAACGGCCGGUUCCUGCCUUAACUGAUGACAUUGCGCCAUUGUGAUUUGUUUCUGCCCCACCUUAACUGAGCGAUUAACCUUGUGAAAUUCCUUCUCCUGGCUCAGAACCUCCCCCACUGAGCACCUUGGGACCCCCACCCCUACCCGCAAGAGAACAACCCCCUUUGACUGUAAUUUUCCACUACCCACCCAAAUCCUGUAAAACAGCCCCACCCCUAUCUCCCUUCUCUGACUCUCUUUUUGGACUCAGUCCGCCUGCACCCUGGUGAAAUAAACAGCUUUAUUGCUCACA